UCCUGUUUAUCCUGCAGGAGGUUGCUGCUAUCAGGAUUCGAUUAAGACAUGCAAGUCAGGGGGUCUUCGGACCACCGGCAGACUGCUCAGUAACACGUCGAUAAUCUCACUUUAGGUACGGAAUAACCUUGGGAAACUGAGGCUAAUACCGUAUAGGGUAAUGAUACUGGAAUGUGCAUUACUUCAAAGCUUAGGUGCCUAAAGAUGGGUCGGCGCCGGAUUAGGUUGUUGAUGGGGUAAUGGCCCACCAAGCCCAAGAUCCGUAGGGGCCCUGAGAGGGGUUGCCCCGAGAAGGACACUGAGAUACUGGUCCUAGCCCUACGGGGUGCAGCAGUUACGAAAACUUUACAAUGCACGUAAGUGUGAUAAGGGAAUCCUGAGUGCCAAUGUUAAACAUUGGCUUUUGCCAAGGGUAAAUACCUUGGCGAAUAAGUGGUGGGCAAGACUGGUGCCAGCCGCCGCGGUAACCCCAGCGCCACAAGUGGGAACCAGUUUUAUUGGGCCUAAAGCGUCCGUAGCCGGCUCUGAAAAUUUUCUGUGAAAUCGUCCAGCCUAACUGGACGGCGUGCAGGGAACACUACAGAGCUUGGGACCAGGAAGAGCCAGAAGUAUUCCAGGGGGAGCGGUAAAAUGCUAUAAUCCCUGGAGGACUACCAAUGGCGAAGGCAUCUGGCUAGAAUGGAUCCGACGGUGAGGGACGAAAGCUAGGGGAGCGAUCCGGAUUAGAUACCCGAGUAGUCCUAGCCGUAAACGCUGCGAGCAAGGUGUUGCAUGAUCUUCGGGAUUAUGCAGUGUCGAAACGAAGGUGUUAAGCUCGCCGCCUGGGAAGUACGGUCGCAAGACUGAAACUUAAAGGAAUUGGCGGGGGAGCACUACAAGGGGUGCGGCGUGCGGUUUAAUCUAAUUCAACACAGAGAAUCUCACCAGGGGCGACGGCAAGAUGAAGGUCAUGCUGAAGACAUUACCUGAUGAGCCGAGAGGUGGUGCAUGGCCGCCGUCAGCUCGUGCCGUGAGGUGUCCUGUUAAGUCAGGCAACGAGCGAGACCUGUAUCCAUAAUUGCUAACGGCUUCAUGCGAAGGACUGAGCACAUUAUGGAGACUGCCUUGGAAACGAGGAGGAAGGUGCAGGCUACGGUAGGUCUGUAUGCCCCGAAUCUCCUGGGCUACACGCGCGCAACAAUGGUAAGUACAAUGGGAUGCAACUCCGAAAGGAGAAGCUAAUCCUCGAAACCUUACCCUAGUUCGGAUUGAGGGUUGCAACUCACCCUCAUGACGAUGGAAUCCCUAGUAAUCAGAGUUUAUCAAACUCCGGUGAAUAUGUCCCUGCUCCUUGCACACACCGCCCGUCAAACCAACCGAGCCGGGUUUAGGUGAGCCUUAAUGAGUAAUUAAGCCGAACCUAAGUUCAGUGAGGUGGGUUAAGUCGUCACAAGGUA
rnacentral:rRNA from 1 species